UACGGAGAGUGCAAACGUUGUUCGGAUUUACUGGGCGUAAAGGGCACGUAGGCGGCCAGGCAAAUCAGUCGUGGAAUUCCGACGCUUACCGUCGGAGCGGCGGCUGAAAAUACCUGGCUCGAGGGCGUGAGGGGUCGCUGGAACUCCUGGUGAAGCGGUGAAAUGCGUAGAUAUCAGGAGGAACGCCGGAGGCGAAAGCGAGCGACUGGCGCGUUCCUGACGCUGAGGUGCGAAAGCUAGGGGAGCAAACAGGAUUAGAAACCCCUGUAGU
rnacentral:rRNA from 1 species